UACGUAGGGGGCAAGCGUUGUCCGGAAUCAUUGGGCGUAAAGAGCGUGUAGGCGGCCCGGUAAGUCUGUUGUGAAAGUCCAGGGCUCAACCCUGGAAUGCCGAUGGAUACUGCCGGGCUAGAGUUCGGAAGAGGCGAGUGGAAUUCCUGGUGUAGCGGUGGAAUGCGCAGAUAUCAGGAGGAACACCAAUAGCGAAGGCAGCUCGCUGGGACGGUACUGACGCUAAGGCGCGAAAGCGUGGGGAGCGAACAGG
rnacentral:rRNA from 1 species